ACCCCCCUCUCUUUCACUCUCCUUCACCAAAACAAAUCCCCAAAAUGAGACUUAACAAACCCUAGCCACCUCUCCCUUCUUCCUUGGCGCAAGUCGCCGCUCCACCUGGUCGCCGGAGCGUCGUCUGCUCUAGCUCUGCGUCGACACCGGGUCGCCGGCGACUCGCAUCAGCGGGAGCUCCGCCGUCGCCGUCUGCUGCAGAGGAAGCCCCAAAUCGGAGACGGACGCAGCGGCGCUCCCUCCGUCGCCUCCCGUUCCGGUCGGCGCCGCCUCCGCGCUGUGGAGGAAAUUCUCUUUUCUUCUUUCAAUUCGAAUCUCCUCCAAAUUGGAAACCUUUGGUGAAGAAGACCCAGCGGCAUCUACGCCGCUGCUUCGCUCCUCUCCCCUCGGAAACUUCGCCGUCCUCCGGUGUCACCGGAGCACCCUGGCCCUUACUCACUUUCGCCAGCCUUUGGUCACUGUUCCGAUCGGCAUCUCUCUCGCGCCACCGCCGUCGCUGGUGUUGCGCCGUCGGAGAAGGAGUCGCCUCUCUCCCUCCGUGCACACGGCUUUGCUUCGAGUUUGUGAUCCUCGACAGAACGGCGCCGCCUCUCAUCCUUCGAACAGCGGCGAGCCGUCGCUACCGGCGGCUUAAAUUCUCCCGCUGCAUUGAACUCAGCCGUGUCCUCCAACCGAUGCCCUCACCUCUGCUGUUUCCGACUAGAAGCUAAGCUAUCCCUAACCCAACUUAACUUUCUUCGUUAUUUAUCCCAUCGAAAAUUUUGAUUGAUAUUCCUUAGAUUAUUUGAGGUGUUGAGCAUGUGGCAGAUCGAAUUAUCUGGAUUUUUGGCUUAAGGUUAUGAACUCCUAUUUUACUGAUUGAAAAAACGUUAGCACUACUUGAAGAAAACUUGUAUGUACAUAUGAUGGGUUUCUAUGUUUUGAGGGUUGAGCACUCCUAAGCUGCUGAGUUUUGAGUGAAAAGACAGCAGCGUUUUGUUUCUCUUGUUUCAUUAUGUAGUAUAGCCCUGUAGGGGUUGGUUAGGAGCAGAGGUGUUGCAGCUGUGCUGCGGCUGCCCCCUCCCUCUUCUGGCUCAUGGCAGUGGUUGGUUAUGGCUGGGGAGUGCAGGAGUGCUGCCAUCUUGCCUUUUUUGGCAAGUCUUUGGUCUUCCAACUAAAGGUGAGGGAAUCGGCUGCCAUUGCUGUUGUGCUGUGAAGUUGGCCCGCUGCUCGUUUGGGCCCGGCCCGCAGUAGUGUGGUUUUGGGCUCGAAGAACACAGGCCAAAGUUGGCAUUUCUUGAAAUUUGUAAUAGGAUAGUGUUUUCCGAGUUUUCUUUCUUUCCAUUCUCAAACCAUAUGUGAAACAUUUAUAAAAGUUAAUGUAUAUACUGUUCUCGAGCA